UGCCAGCCUCCGCUGUACUCCUGAUUGGGUUAUCGUUGUUCGGAAUUACUGGGCGUAAAGCGCACGUAGGCGGACUGGAAAGUUGGGGGUGAAAUCCCAGGGCGCAACCCUGGAACUGCCUCCAAAACUAUCAGUCUAGAGUUCGAGAGAGGUGAGUGGAAUUCCAAGUGUAGAGGUGAAAUUCGUAGAUAUUUGGAGGAACACCAGUGGCGAAGGCGGCUCACUGGCUCGAUACUGACGCUGAGGUGCGAAAGUGUGGGGAGCAAACAGGAUUAGAUA
rnacentral:rRNA from 1 species